rnacentral:snoRNA from 1 species
UUGGAGCCAAAGUGGCACACUAAAGCACUUUUUAUUUUUGUCUCGAAUGCUCCCAUAUGAAAUGGCAAAUACGAACGGCAUCCUGAAUAAUUAAGCAUAUUAUAACAGAUGACUUGAGUUCGUGUACACUA